GACGUAGGAGGCGAGCGUUGUCCGGAUUCAUUGGGCGUAAAGAGCUCGUAGGCGGUUUGUUGCGUCGGCUGUGAAAUCCCGAGGCUCAACCUCGGGUCUGCAGUCGAUACGAGCAAACUAGAGUGUUGCAGGGGAGACUGGAAUUCCUGGUGUAGCGGUGAAAUGCGCAGAUAUCAGGAGGAACACCGGUGGCGAAGGCGGGUCUCUGGGCAACAACUGACGCUGAGGAGCGAAAGCGUGGGGAGCGAACAGG
rnacentral:rRNA from 1 species